rnacentral:lncRNA from 10 species
UUCUGGGCCUGUCCGAGUUGGGAAUUCCCCAGAGACCUGGAACUUGCUCUCCACAGCCACAGCCUUGGCCCCGCCCUGUAUCUGUGCUGCCGCCAGUAAGGCUGCCCCUGGGGAGGGCGGAGCCAGAACCUCACAGCCUCACAGGGCAGAGCAAGGCUGGAUUGACGGACACCAGGCCGAGAAGAAACCCUUGGGGUUGGCGGCAGUUCUUAGUGAGGGCAAUUCAUUCAAUCCAGAGCCAGAAACAGGAUUUUAUUUAAAAUUUAUUGUAAUGGGGUCCGCGCAAAAGGAAGGGGUGGAGGGUGGGGUACAUGCAGGGGACACAGGAACACGAUGACAUGGCCAGGGCCACAACUUCUUCUGUCGUGGGGAAGAGGGAUGAAAAGACAAGACCAGGGCUGGAGCUGGGGUGGAAGAGGGGAGGGGGACACUGGCUGCAUUCCCCCGCCCCCAGGAAGCACCUCUAGGCCCUGGACCCCUCGCUCACCCUGGCCCCUAAGACUCCAUCUCUUCUCUGCCUCUGGCCCUCCUGGCUCUUCCUCCUGCUCCCCUUGACUUUUUCCCCUGACAGAUUCUCAAGUAGGACGAUGUUCAGGGCCUGACCCCAACCCCCCAUACCACCUUAUGAAGGUACAACCUUUGCCGGCCCUGCUUCUGCCCCUCCUCAAACCUCACCGCUUUCCCUCUUUGGGACAGCUCUGAUCCCCCUCCUUCCUCUCCUCCCUCCCCCUGGAAAAAAAAAAAAAAGGAAAAGAAAGCACCAACUCCCCGGGGAGGGGCUGCAGACAGCAGGGGGAGAGGACUGGAAGGAGAGAAGAGGACCGUCGAGGGAAGAGGCUCACAAGUCCCUGGGAAGACAGGGCAUGGGCUUACAGAGAGGAGAGGGGGUACGGGCAGUGGCUGCUCGUGUCCUCUGCCACCCCUGCCCACUGUCCAGGGGACUUCAACACAACCGAGGGGACAGGUUUGUGUGGGGUCAGGUCUGACAGAAGAGGAGCAGGAGAAACAAAUCGUUAAAACCUAGCGAAUUCCCCUAAGAAAACAUUUCUUCCUCCUUUCCUUCUGGAGGCUCCUUGGUUGGUAGGGAAAUAGGAGUUGGUGGGAAAAGAGGGGGGAGAGGAGCUUGUACCAAGGGACUCUACUCCAUUCUCCCCUCUCCCCCGCAACCAACUUGGAGCUCACCAGGGUUGGGAGGGAAGUGGCUGAGAGCUCACAGGCACCCCCUCCGCCCCCGAGAGGGAGCCCACAGCUGUGGGAGGGGCUGCUACUGCUGCCGCUGCUGCCGCUGCCGCCGCUGCCGCUGCCGCCGCCAUUGGACAAACCUCACCAGUACCUGCACAGGAGAAACACCACGGAUCACAGCGCGAUCUGAAUGGCAAGAGCCUUGCCCUCACCCCACACCUUCCCAGCCUGCUUCCCCUGGGACACAGCCGUUGCUCACUUCCUAUCUGGACCCCAGAGGCCUCAGCCUGCAUCCUCACCCAGACAGAGCAGUUCUCAAGGAUCCUCCCUGUGCCCAGAAGUCUCCCUAGCCUGAGUGGUACAUGGGCAUCCCUCGCCUUCCUGAGAUCCCCUAUUGGGCCCUUUGAGCCCCGGGUGCGUGCUGGUAAAGCCCGGCCCGUGUACUCCACCUGCCCCAGGAGCUGGAGACAAGACCUUGUGGCUGCGCAGCGGAAACCUUGCCUUGUGACCCCUGGAACUGGCUUUCUUGACUACUCCUUCCCCAGAGCAGCCAAGUUCCACUCCCGCUUUCCCCACACAUUACCAGGAGGUUCAACCUCUCUGGCAGAUCAUCUCUUCCAACCAGGACUUCUUAGAGUCUAAUGAUGUUCAUUCAGGUGUCCCCCCGCUGCUCCCUUGACCUCUUGUAGGAAUCUAGACGCCACGAGCUCUUGGCUACAGCACCCUUAACCCGUAUCCGUGGCAAGGCGUCUGGCCAGGCGCCCACCCUCUGCCCCUGGCCCUCCCGGCAGCCCUCGGCAUGUACCUUUGUUGCAGAGCUCACAGACAUGGUGAGGACCCUGGCUGUGCACCUUCAUGUGGUCCGAAAUAUAAGCCGAGCUCAGCAUCUUGCCACACACGUGACAUGGCACUUUCUCCUCGUGUCGUACUGUGUGCGCCCGCAGCCGAUCCUUCGUGGCGAAAGCUGCCUCACAUUUCUGAGGAGGGGGGAGGGGCGUGGGGGGUGUCACAGGAGAGUUAAAGCUUGGUGGGCUGGGGAGGGGGGAGCAAGAGAUUAAAGGAAUCAGAGCCUUGGGGAUCUUUGAUCUGUAGGAAAUGGGAGUGACAUGAUGAGGCCUUGAAGAAGGGAUGAGAAAAUGGAGCAAAAAGGCAAAAAGAAGAGAGAGAAAAAGGGGGUCUGAGAGACUGACUCAGACAGCUACCAUGAGGAUCAAAAUCAUGAAAACCAAGACAGGAGGAGGCGGGCUUCCU